ensembl:lncRNA
CUGAAGGGUGAGCCUCUCUUGCACCUAGACUGCUUCAUGUGAAGGAGUGCUGCAUAGCCAGAUGAGCCUUCACCAGUGAUGUUCUCCUAGAAGAUAACUGAGAUGCAAAGUACUUACAGCAUUGUUCUUGGGUGUGAAUUCUCUUUUGUGAUUGUGACUCCAGUCAGUUGUCUCCUGCUGUGGACAAACGUAAAAGAAGUUAUGAUGGUGACAACCUAUCUGAAACACAACAAAACAUCAUAAUCUCAAUGCAAAACAUCUGUGGGAUGCCAUAAAAAGCCUGGAGAUAGUGCAGUAUUGUGCAGUAUCUUUCCAUAAAGUGAACUGGCAGAGGCUGCAUUUGUACAGAUGCUGUGAUGCUCAAUUGUCUGUGAUGGGCUGCAGUAAAGGAGCAAGUGAGAGCUUCUCUGGAUCACUGCUGCACAAACUGUACGGAGCCCUGUGUCCCUAUGCAGCUCCAUGGGGCUGCUUCUGGCUUACUGCACACGUCCAUACUACUGGCAUCAAACUGUUCUCUGGGCCAGGAGAGUUACUGGGAGGUACAGAUAGAAUGUGUCUGCAGAACUGUUCAACGUGCUGACGUGAGGAAGAUUGUCUCAAUGAGACUUUUUGACAAGAUUACUAAAACUUUCCUGAUCCAAUCGAUUGAGUGACCUCAUGGUUCAUAGUUUCAUCUUCUUACUUCUUGCUCCCCCCUUGGAUGGGGCGGCACAGAAUGUAAUGAUGCGUCUUUAAAAGUGUUUGAAAUCAAGAUGGAACGAGGUGGAAGUGAAGUACAAUGGAACAGGCCAAGUAAUUUUAUGGAAAUAAAUUGGUUCUUUGAAUUGAAUUCUCUUUCCCAUUGUUACACUCUGAACCUUUACUGCUGUAACCUGACUUUGUCAGCACCUAAUUCCAAAGUAGACCCCCAAAAAAUCAAGGAAGAGAAAAAUACAGAAAUAUGGCCAUCUGGAAUUAAAAAUAUUUUGAGUUCAGUACUUCAUUGGUAUUUUUAGUAUUUUAUUCUAUUGCAAAACACUCCUGGCUUUCUGAUAGAAUGAAAAACAGGUUAAAUAAUGUGAAAAGACUGGAGGGUGGAGUAGAACUGGUUCAAUUAUGUACACUAAUUGCAUGCUGUUUGAUUUUUUUUUUCUCCUUUAACUGUGUUUCUAAGAUGAACUCCUUCUAUAAAUCUACAACAGUAACUUCUGUUCCAAUAAAAUUUUGUUAAGCUUUUUGUCCUACUGGAGAUACAACCUUAGAAAACUAAACAACUGUGGUGGCAUCUCAGGAAACAGUUUCCCCUGCCUCGCGCUUUUUUUUUGUCUGAAGAUUGACGGAAGAGCAACAAGACUUCAAGAAUGUUGUUUAGGAAGCCUAUAGCUUUACAUAAUGUUUCAAGGAACUAUCUGACAGUAAUUCAUCCAGCACAGGUCAUCCAUUCUAUCGUAACCCACUUUGCAAAGGCCCCUGUCAGCUCUCUACCUCAUUAACCAGGCACAGCACCUUUGCAGAGACUUCACUGCUCUCUCCUCAUGCAAAACAGAGGGGCUUGACUCCUCGCUGUUCAAGGGAUUCAGAACUUUGGCCUGUUCUUCAGUAACUCCUUUUAGUAGAUGCUUUCCCUAUGCAAUUUCAAUUCUGGCUUUCUUAAUGGAUAAGAAGCUCUUUGAAGAAAUUCUCUACAAACAGGAAUCUGCUGAAUUGCGACUCUUCCUUUCUCCUCCUGAAAGAGGAAAGAAAAUAGGAUGUUUGUCACAUUCACUCACCAUGAAGGUGCUUCUCUUCUCAGGUCUGCAGAGACUGUGUGCUGAGGGUUCUGGAGAUAUGGAGCAAGGUUUAUAAGCUCUUUUGAAUUAUUUUAUUUUAUUUGGAGGUAGGAGUGUGGGAGCUAAGAAUGGGAAGGGAAAAAAAGGCUUAGUGUGUACUAGUUCAGGAUUUCUUCAUGCUCUUGUCUGUUAGAACAUGCAAAGAGAACACUAUUAGUGCUGGUACCUCAUAGUUCUAAUUUUGAAACUGCCAAAGACUGUCUCUGCUCAGCCAAAGCUUUUCCAUUUCUUGGGCUCCCAGGAUGGGCUGUAACUUUCUACAAGCCUUUGCAUACUACUUUGAAGACUGGAUACCUUUAAAAAUGUUGGGUUUUUUUUUUUUUCAGAGCAGUAGUUUUAAUAAAGUUUAAUAUUGGGGCAAUAUUGUUUAUCCACAUUAACAUCAAAUUACUUUCAUAUUAAUAAAUGAAUAUGAAACAUUUAGUUCCUGUCAAUCCAUCUCUAUAGUUUUAUUAAAAAUAGACUUUUAUACAAACUCCCACAGACAUUU